AUAAAUAACAAGAAGUUCAUGUCUUAGGUGGUCGAACACCCGCAUUGUAAAAGAACAUUGUUUACAAGAGCUCUUUGUGGUUUAUGGACAUUCUUUUUUUCUUUUUCUCUCUUAUCAAAUGAAACACAUUUGUCUUCUGUUCUGAUUCAUCCAUCCACGUCUUUUUCUCUCCUUUGAACGUGCAGUGUGAGCGAAUGGAUGGGUAGCCAUAAUAUGCU